CGGCACCUAUCUUCGGAUAGAAGCGAGUGGCGAACGGCUGAGUAACACGUGGAGAACCUGCCCCUUCCCCCGGGAUAGCCGCCCGAAAGGACGGGUAAUACCGGAUACCCCGGGGUGCCGCAUGGCACCCCGGCUAAAGCCCCGACGGGAGGGGAUGGCUCCGCGGCCCAUCAGGUAGACGGCGGGGUGACGGCCCACCGUGCCGACAACGGGUAGCCGGGUUGAGAGACCGACCGGCCAGAUUGGGACUGAGACACGGCCCAG
rnacentral:rRNA from 1 species